rnacentral:rRNA from 1 species
UACCUGACCUAGCGGCGGACGGGUGAGUAAUGCUUAGGAAUCUGCCUAUUAGUGGGGGACAACAUUCCGAAAGGAAUGCUAAUACCGCAUACGCCCUACGGGGGAAAGCAGGGGAUCUUCGGACCUUGCGCUAAUAGAUGAGCCUAAGUCAGAUUAGCUAGUUGGUGGGGUAAAGGCCUACCAAGGCGACGAUCUGUAGCGGGUCUGAGAGGAUGAUCCGCCACACUGGGACUGAGACACGGCCCAGACUCCUACGGGAGGCAGCAGUGGGGAAUAUUGGACAAUGGGCGAAAGCCUGAUCCAGCCAUGCCGCGUGUGUGAAGAAGGCCUUUUGGUUGUAAAGCACUUUAAGCGAGGAGGAGGCUACCGAGAUUAAUACUCUUGGAUAGUGGACGUUACUCGCAGAAUAAGCACCGGCUAACUCUGUGCCAGCAGCCGCGGUAAUACAGAGGGUGCGAGCGUUAAUCGGAUUUACUGGGCGUAAAGCGUGCGUAGGCGGCUUUUUAAGUCGGAUGUGAAAUCCCUGAGCUUAACUUAGGAAUUGCAUUCGAUACUGGGAAGCUAGAGUAUGGGAGAGGAUGGUAGAAUUCCAGGUGUAGCGGUGAAAUGCGUAGAGAUCUGGAGGAAUACCGAUGGCGAAGGCAGCCAUCUGGCCUAAUACUGACGCUGAGGUACGAAAGCAUGGGGAGCAAACAGGAUUAGAUACCCUGGUAGUCCAUGCCGUAAACGAUGUCUACUAGCCGUUGGGGCCUUUGAGGCUUUAGUGGCGCAGCUAACGCGAUAAGUAGACCGCCUGGGGAGUACGGUCGCAAGACUAAAACUCAAAUGAAUUGACGGGGGCCCGCACAAGCGGUGGAGCAUGUGGUUUAAUUCGAUGCAACGCGAAGAACCUUACCUGGUCUUGACAUAGUAAGAACUUUCCAGAGAUGGAUUGGUGCCUUCGGGAACUUACAUACAGGUGCUGCAUGGCUGUCGUCAGCUCGUGGCCUGGAGAUGUUGGGGUUAAGUCCCGCCACCGAGCGCAACCCUUUUUCCUUAAUUUGCCAGCGGGUUAAACCCGGGAACUUUAAAGGAUCCUGCCAGUGACAAACUGGAAGGAA